rnacentral:sRNA from 1 species
AGACAAGCUGAGCACAA